rnacentral:rRNA from 1 species
UACGGAGGGUGCAAGCGUUAUCCGGAUUUACUGGGCGUAAAGGGCGCGUAGGCGGCGUGUCAAGUCAGGCGUGAAAGCCCCGGGCUCAACCUGGGAACCGCGCUUGAGACUGGCAUGCUCGAGUUCGGGAGAGGAUGGUGGAAUUCCCAGUGUAGAGGUGAAAUUCGUAGAUAUUAGGAAGAACACCGGUGGCGAAGGCGGCCCACUGGUCCGGUACUGACGCUGAGGUGCGAAAGCGUGGGGAGCAAACAGG